GUGUUUAUAGCUCAGUGGAUAGAGUGCUUGUUUUCUAAGCAUGUAGGUAGUGGUUCAACCCCUGCCUAGCGCG
rnacentral:tRNA from 1 species